GCCAGGUGCGGUAGCGCGUGCCCAUAGUUCCAGCUGUUCAGGAGGCUGAGGCUGGAGGAUCACUUGAGUCCAGGAGUUCUGGGCUGUAGUGUGCUAUGCCCAUUGGGUGUCCACACUAAGUUCAGCAUCAAUAUGGUGACCUCCCGGGAGUGGGGGACCACCAGGUUGCCUAAGGAGGGGUGAACCGGCCCAGGUCAGAAAUGGAUCAGGUCAAAACUCCCGUGCUGAUCAGUAGGGGGAUCACACCUGUGAAUAGCCACUAUACUCCAGCCUGGGCAACAUAGCAAGACCCUGUCUCU
rnacentral:SRP_RNA from 1 species